GAUUGGGCAAUGCAAACAGAGAGACGCAGUGGAGAGUGGAGAGCAGCGGGGCUGAGGGUAUUCUGCAUUAGCCAGGCGAUACGUACGGCCCCGCCGGUCAAUAUCAAAAUUCAAAUAUCAAUAUUUACGCAGCAAUUAUGCAAAUGAAGUUCAGUUCAGCGUCUCAACGGAAUGGCAACGGAAUGAAAUGGAAUAUAUCGGAUCGUACGACGAGUAUCGGGUGGCAACUAUGACGAAACUACGUUGGCAUCUCGCUGUGGAGAGUGCGACUGCCCCUUGCCUUGUUCUUGGGGUCUUUGGGGUUUCUGUGUGUGCGUCUUAUCUCCCUGAGAGAUUGCAUUUGCAAUGACAGGCCGCAUAAUUGUUCUAAUUACAUGUAUCUCCCCC
rnacentral:lncRNA from 1 species